rnacentral:ribozyme from 1 species
GGGAGGCUCAGCCCCCCCCCUUAAUGCAGCCGAAGGCGUUCACAAGCCCGCAGAAAUGCAGAGUGAGGA